rnacentral:rRNA from 1 species
UACAGAGGUCCCAAGCGUUGUUCGGAUUCACUGGGCGUAAAGGGUGCGUAGGUGGUGGAUUAAGUCGGGUGUGAAAUCUCCGGGCUCAACCCGGAGGGUGCGCCCGAAACUGAUCCGCUCGAGGGUGGGAGGGGAGACUGGAAUUCUCGGUGUAGCAGUGAAAUGCGUAGAUAUCGAGAGGAACACCGGUGGCGAAGGCGAGUCUCUGGGCCGAUACUGACGCUGAGGAGCGAAAGCGUGGGGAGCGAACAGG